GCUGGCGGCAGGCCUAACACAUGCAAGUCGAGCGAGAAAGCACUUCGGUGCGAGUACAGCGGCGGACGGGUGAGUAACGCGUAGGAAUCUACCUGGUAGUGGGGGACAACUCGAGGAAACUCGAGCUAAUACCGCAUACGCCCUUCGGGGGAAAGCGGGGGAUCUUCGGACCUCGCGCUAUUGGAUGAGCCUGCGUCGGAUUAGCUUGUUGGUGAGGUAAAAGCUCACCAAGGCGACGAUCCGUAGCUGGUCUGAGAGGAUGAUCAGCCACACUGGGACUGAGACAUGGCCCAGACUCCUACGGGAGGCAGCAGUGGGGAAUAUUGCGCAAUGGGGGAAACCCUGACGCAGCCAUGCCGCGUGUGUGAAGAAGGCCCUAGGGUUGUAAAGCACUUUCAAAAGGGAAGAAAAGCUGUACGUUAAUAGCGUGCAGCCGUGACAUUACCUUUAGAAGAAGCACCGGCUAACUCCGUGCCAGCAGCCGCGGUAAUACGGAGGGUGCAAGCGUUAAUCGGAAUUACUGGGCGUAAAGCGCGCGUA
rnacentral:rRNA from 1 species